UUUGUGUGAACAGUGAAAUGCUGCAUGCAGUCUUUUUUCCAAAUGCCUUCUGGAUCGAGUGGAAAUAUCUGCAAACGAGACCCAGAGGCAGGGCGGAUGAAGCAGAAAGAGGGCCCUGGGAUAGAAUGCUUUGACUUGAAAGACCAGUGUUCGUGUAAAGGAAGAGCAAAGAAGCGGAGGGCAGAAAAAGACAGAAACAGAAGCGGUUUCUUUGAUAUCCAGUGAGAGGUGAGGAAGCAGAACUGAAAACAAAACCAGUUCUUCACCAGGAUGACAGAUGGAGAAAGUCUGGCAGAAAUCUUCCACUCUGGACCUGUUUUUAUUGCUUUCUGAUAUCGCCUGACGUCAGCACACAGACAUAAAUCAAAAGCUAAGUAUGAAUUCAAGGAUAAAAAUAAAACCUACUGAAAUGUAAAUCCAUCAUAGAAAACCCAUAAAAUUUCAUGAUGUCCAUAAAUCUGAAAUAAAAACGAAGAAUGAAAAGCAUAAAAGAACCACGAUAUGUGUGAUAAAUGAUAUCUACACUUACUUAGAUGAUGACAGCUGUCGGGAGGCUGCUGUCCAGGAGGAGGAUUUGGCGCCAUCUCCAGUGUCAGAUUUUUACAUAUUUCAAGGGUUACUAUAGUUUUUAAUGCCAUUUGGAAUUAAUAACUUAGCACAUUGAAUAAGUAAUCAUCAGAUUUUUUCCAGAGGUGUUAUAUUUUCAAUACUUAUGACAACUAGUAAUUGUAAAUACUGACAUAAUAAUCUACAAUCAGUAAUAACUGUUUUUAAACAUAACUGGCGUAUUUGUAGUCACAAAAGAGUAAAAAGUAACUUUCAAAGUACAAAUAUAGCUAUAGUAAUAACAACCAUCAUUAAUGACUUAAUAACUAAACUAUGAUUUAGUAAAUAAUAACUGUUUUUAAAGGAAAAAUCCUUUAUGUCUGAUAGCCAUUGUGGUUACAGUCAAUAGCCCAGUAAGCUAUUGAACUGUAACUGUGCUGUUUUAUAUCAGUAUGUAGUCAUUAUAGGAUAAAUAGGAACAUAAUUGAAAAUGUAAUUUAAUGGCAAAUAAAGAAUGGCCAUAUAUUUAAUACCUUAUGAUUGUGAGAAAUAACUAAAAACAGAAACAUGUAUUUUUAAAUUAAACACUGGUGCCUAUUAAUAAUAAUAUAGCAUAGGCUAUUAAUUACAUAAUAAAGUAUAAUUUUAACAAAGUUAAUGUCUAACAUGUAUAUUGCAUAAUGAGUAUAACUGCUUAAAGCUAAUUUCUCUGUCGGUGAUCAGUUUGUCACACAACAGACACAAUAAGCACAGACUGUUUGUUGGGGAUAUUAACUUCAGUUUAUUUCCUUUAACACGAAUGUGCGUGCAUGAAAGCAACCGAUAAAUACAUCUCAUAUGCGUAACCUCCAUUUUCAUAAAUAAAUCACAAAACAACAGAUCGUGAACAGUUUACAUUGUUCUCGGAUACAGCAGUUUCACCUUGAACCCUGUUACAUCACAGUUAAAAAAAAAAAUGGCAACGACUAAAUGGAGUUUAGUGUCUGUGAUUGUAAGUUUGAUGGCGAUGCAGCUGCGUCUCCAGUCACCAAACAACCACAUCUGGUGCCACUUUGGAGGUCAGCCGCAGAACUGACUGAACUCUCCUUCACGUCAGGUUGUAUGUUACAUGACAACACUGUGACCCCAACAGGAAGUAAGCAAAGUUAGCAAAACAACAGAAAAAACAACCAGCAGGAAGUCACUGAUAUUUUACUGAAGUCUUAAAGUACAGUAAAGAACAAUAUUCUCAUUAAAAUAAAAUAAACAUAACAAUUUUAAUUUUACUUACAUUUUUAGAGUGAUCUAAAUGAUGAUAUAAAACCACACAUUUAAAUGUGAAUUCAUCCACCAUGUGUGCCUUGGAUUUAAUGACACAUAAAACGUUCACUUGAGAUGCUGUUUCAUGUGAUGUCUUCACUUGUUAAAUGGUGUUUCAAACAAUCAUUUUUCUUUUCACAGAUUUUAAGCCGAUGUGGAGAAACGGAAAGUUAAACAUCUAUAGUUCCCUGCAAACUAAGCAAACUCUUCAUCUGCUCAUGAAGACCAUGUGGUGAUUCUAACUCCAGCACAGCUAAUACAUGGAGCUUGUGGAUGUCAGGAGGCUUGUCACCACCUCAUCUCUGCAGAUUCGACAAGGAGCCGUGAAGUACCAGACUUUCUGCUCCAGGACGUCUUUGGUGCCACAAACGGACCACACAGAUCCUGGAUCCGUAAAGCUUUGAUUGCC